ensembl:lncRNA
AAGCAUUUGUGCACUACCUUUAUCAAGAGGCUACUUUAAAUAAUUGAAGAAGAGAGGAAAAGACUACCCUCCAGAGAUGAUGGCGCUGUGCUGUCCCCCGACCAUGUAAACCGUCCUGCGGGGCUCCUAGGAGCUCGCUGCAAGGGCCGCCCAGGGCACCUGGGUUCCUUUGAGGACCAGGGCUCCAGAUCAUCCGUGAACAAGGUGAAGUGAGCUGCAGAACUGGCCUUGGAGGAAUUCGAAAACAGGCGAAAGGGACUCCAUGAAGACCCUGAAAGGACACCCGGAAGAACUCGGCAGCCCUCCGACCUGACCAUGAGCUUUGAUGACAAAUCUGUGUGCUUGCCAAGUAGAGGAGAGCUGCUGGAUGCCUCGAGAUGCCCCGGACAGAGGAAAUGGUGGCUCUAAAGGAAUCUGCAGAUGAGAAGUCACACGGGGAGGAUGCAUUAAAUUGCAGGCUGAUUGGCUGUGGAACGUCUCUCACAAGGGCAUCUCCAUGAAGCAUGUAUCCUGGAGACGAGCAGCAAGGAUUUUUUUUUUUUUUCUUUAACCAGCGGUUAGUGAUUCUCCUAAGCCACACCAAGAAUGCCAGAGGCUCUAAUCAGGCUCUGGUGAGAACGAAACCCUGUUCACAGUUAAUGCCAUUCCUCUUUUUGAGAACUAUGGAGUGCCUGCUAAGUGCCAGGCACUGUCUACGUUUAGUGGAAGAUCAAGGCCCGAGGGAGGGGGAGCAGGGGAGGACGACUCUUGGCCUCUCAGAGCUGGGCCUGGUGGCUAAGAACAACAGGAGGUUCCAUUUUAUAACUCGGAGGAAACAGAGGAGGUGUCCGGGCGAUUCACUUUCCUCUCUGACCUCAAUUUACUCUUUUUAAAUGAGAGGGUUGGACUGUGUGAUCUCUAAGCCCCGCUGUUCUGAUUCUAGCACCAUGUGAAGUUCACUUCAAAGUCAGCGAAAGUCGCAGCAACAUAAAUAGACCUCAGGAUAUAAACACUGUGUUAUCCAAAGGGAAAACGAAGAUGACAGACUACAUGUUUUAAAAUAAACUCACUGUGGUUUUUAAUUCUCAAUUCCAUCCUUGAGUUUUAUGAGUAUUGAUUUCCUAAGAAAAGAAAGCCUACAACUGCUACCUUCCUUAAGUACCUUUCUAGUCAUUUUAAAUAAGGUCAUUAACAAUUUUCAGGCCUAAUAUAUAUAACUUUCCAUUUAAAUAUCCUUCCCACCCUCACCAAAAGGACCUUUCUUAUGUAACGAAAACGAAAGUUUUAAUUUUGGACACAAAAAAAUACAGGCUUGACAUUUACUGAGCAUUUAUAAAAAAACAAUACUUUGUGCCUUGCCUAAAAAAAUUCCUGUUAUGUACUUCAAACAUUGACAGGAAGUGUCAUUGACAACACAAUGGGAUGGGCAAACUGAGAGACAGAGACCCAAGACAUUUGCAGUUUGCUUAAGGUCACACAGUUAUUUUAUGUAUCUGCCUCAUUUUCAUCUUAUUUCAUUUAUCCUUCACAGUAGUCUUAGAGAGUAAUUUCCCGACCUACAGAUAAGGAUAUUGAGUUUCAGAAAUAGUAUGUUCUUAAACAAUAACAGAUUCAAAACUAGGUUGACCUAUCUCAAAAACUCUUGCAAUUUUUCCCUAUACCUUGUGGAGUUCUAGCACAUAAUCCCUACUUUGCAAAUUGUACAUUCUCACAUAGGUCAAAUGGAAAGGAUCCCUUCAUCCUCAAACCUUUUUCUUCAGAGAAUGAGAAGGAGGCCGUUCUAGAGGAGAGACAAGGGGAGAAGUGAGGUUAAAGAACUGCCCUCUGUUACUCUAAGAUAUUUCCAGACUUAUCUUUCCCUAACCCUGCCCAGACUUAUAUUGUACCCAAAUUAGACUACCACAGUUCCUGGUUUAUACCCUCAGUAUAUGACACCUCAGUCUGUGAUAAAAUAUAAAAAGAAAAUAAAUGUAUUAUUUCUCACUGUUAAACAUGAAACUGUAGUCGGUCCAUGGCUUUUAUACUCACUCUUACAUAAUGUUUGGCAUCAAAAGUUCCAGUCUAGUCUAAUAAUUGUAAAGUUAGAGUCCACUCCAGUAAAGAAAUAAAAUAUCUAGACUCUUAUUCAGUGUCAGACUUUCCCCAUUCCUAGAAUGGAGGCCCGGGGGGAGGAGAGGAAGGGAGCAGGGCUGGUUCUUAAGCAGUUCCUCUUCUGCCUCCUCUCCCACUGUGAGCUCUCUCUGAAGUCAGCCUAGGAAGAGAGGAACUAGAAGAACGGGGCCAGGCUGCAUGGCUGGUAUAAGGUUAUCUGGCCUCAGUGCCCUCUGGACUAAAGAAGCAUUGCUGACUCUUUCUCUUUUGGACACUUUUGUUGAUUCUUUGGAGUCUCACUCAAGAUC